rnacentral:miRNA from 1 species
CUCUCCCUCAAAGGCUUCCA